GCAAGCUCCAUCCCAGAGGUCUCCUCGCUCCGCUCCCAAGUGUAAGGAGUGCCAGCCUCUCUGUGGUGGCAGUCUGUUGGUGGAUCCAGGAAGGCUUCCACGGUUUGCCCAGUGAAAAGUGGUCACGAAAACAAGGCAUCUAGAGGAGAUACCGGAUUAGUCCAGGACACCUCGCGCUUUCUCCCACAGCCCCUCCACCCCUGGGCCUCCAGGGUUCGGAAUCAAGAGUGGAGCAGCGUUGUGGUCUCCCGCAGGCCCCUGACCGGGGGCGGCGGGGGGCUGCGUGGGGCCGUAGUAGCGCGCGGUGGCCUGCGGGUACCAAGCGGACCGCGGGGCUGGCACGCAUCCCACCCGGCGUCCGAGGCCCGCCGCCAUGCGGGGCCGGGAAGACAAACGACUGCUCUGCGGCCCUUCCCAUUAAACAAUAAAGAGAGCUGUAAAGCCUCA